GAUGAACGCUGGCGGCGUGCCUAAUACAUGCAAGUCGAGCGAACAGACGAGGAGCUUGCUCCUCUGACGUUAGCGGCGGACGGGUGAGUAACACGUGGAUAACCUACCUAUAAGACUGGGAUAACUUCGGGAAACCGGAGCUAAUACCGGAUAAUAUAUUGAACCGCAUGGUUCAAUAGUGAAAGACGGUUUUGCUGUCACUUAUAGAUGGAUCCGCGCCGCAUUAGCUAGUUGGUAAGGUAACGGCUUACCAAGGCGACGAUGCGUAGCCGACCUGAGAGGGUGAUCGGCCCCCCUGGAACUGAGACACGGUCCAGACUCCUACGGGAGGCAGCAGUAGGGAAUCUUCCGCAAUGGGCGAAAGCUUGACGGAGCAACGCCGCGUGAGUGAUGAAGGUCUUCGGAUCGUAAAACUCUGUUAUUAGGGAAGAACAAAUGUGUAAGUAACUAUGCACGUCUUGACGGUACCUAAUCAGAAAGCCACGGCUAACUACGUG
rnacentral:rRNA from 1 species